AGUUCGGUCCCUAUCCGCUGCGCGCGUAGGAGUCUUGAGAAGGGCUGUCCCUAGUACGAGAGGACCGGGACGGACGGACCUCUGGUGUGCCAGUUGUUCUGCCAAGGGCAUGGCUGGUUGGCUACGUUCGGGAAGGAUAACCGCUGAAAGCAUCUAAGCGGGAAGCCUGCUUCGAGAUGAGGACUCCCACCCCCUGUGAGGGGUUAAGGCUCCCUGGAGAUGACGGGGUUGAUAGGCCGGAUCUGGAAGCACGGUAACGUGUGGAGGUGACCGGUACUAAUAGGCCGAGGGCUUGUCCAU
rnacentral:rRNA from 1 species